CGGGUCAUAGAUAAGUGAGUGCACAUGACUUACAUGGAGAUGAGGGCUACAGAGGAAAACAAGGCAGGAGAAGCUGGAGUGAGCGGGCAUGCUGCCGCGGGUGCCAGCAGGCGCUCUUCUGAGGAGGUGACAUGUGGGUGCACCCGAUGGAGCUCCAAGACACGGAAGUCUCUGCCGGGAUGCAGUUUGCCUACACUUCCUGCCUGGAUGAUCUGCCACAUCCUCUAAGGAGUCUCCGGCCUCUGAGCACCCCCUCGGCACCCACCCUGUUCCUCACCUUUCUUAGAGCAGCCAGAAUGAUCUUAUCACCUGCACCCCACACCACAGCUUGAAUCUCUGCAAAGACUUCUGAACAUGCUUGGCAUGAAGUUCAAACUCAAGACGUGACUCCCAAGAGAAUGCCUGACCCGCCCACCCUCACUCCCCUCCCCUGCUUCAGCCCCCACAGCCUCCUCCCCACUCCCCAAAGGCGCCAGGAAACCCCACAGCACAGGCCUCUGCCCCUGCAGGUCCCACAGCCCAGAGCAUCCUCUCCGGACCAGCCUGGCCUCGUGGGCACCCACUGGACCCAGAGCUCUCAGCUCGCUCGCCACGAAAUGUUGUCUGCAGCCCUCGGGAUGGGCUGCGUUCCCUAGGCACCACCCUGACUCUGGGUCUGUUACUAUGUAUGGAUGUGAAUGGCAACCCCCUCCUUCCUGUCCUAAAUUAACACCCCCAAGGGCAGCCUUUGUGUGGGUGUUCGACAUUGAAUCCUAGCCUUCAAGAGUCCAGCAUAAAAGAGGCUUCGAAUACAAAUGAAGGAAUUUGGUUGGUUUUUGACUUGGGAGAUCAAAGACCCCUUUGAGAAACC
rnacentral:lncRNA from 10 species